rnacentral:lncRNA from 1 species
AAAAAUAACACGAAAGAUUAUAGGCUUCAGUAUAUAGAGCAUUGUACCAAAAAACUGAACAUUUUGUUGAGGUUAACACAUAGAUUAUGAGAAAAAUUCAACAAAAUGAUAAUAUUGUUUUAAUGCAUAGUUGUACGAUGAACUAAAAUAUGAUGAUGGUCAGAGAGGUUUGGAACCUUUGUUGUCUCCGUUUCUCUAUAAUAGCGAUUUUAUUGUGAUUUGUCAACUGAUUUAGGGAGCAUAUGAAGUUUUAUUAAAUUAAUUGUUAAAAAAUAGAACGAUGCCUAUGUACCGUGAAAGAGAGUUUAGAAUACAUUUAUCGAAAUGUAGAAUGUGGUUAGAAAUUUUUAAAACAACAAUAAAAAUUAUAUGCUUCAGUAUAUAUGCCAUGAAAGAGAGUCUUGGAACCCUUGUUGUCUCUGCUUCUCUAGAAUCCCGAUUUUAUUGUGGUUUGUCAACUGAUUUAGUGAGCAUAAUAAAUUUUACUAAAUUAAUUGAUAAAAAAA